GGGGAUUGGAAGGCCCUAAAGCAGUGCAUUAAGCAAGCACAAGCUAAGGUCUGGCUGACUUUCCACAAUGGAAACUGUUUCCAAGGACACAGACUUAAAAGCAUAAUGUGCUGUUAAGACCCUCUGGAUGGUGUACAUCAUUGAACCCAGCCAGAAUCCAGAUGUCGUUCUGUAUGGAAGCCAUGUGGUCAGUUGCUGGUGAUGAGAAG